rnacentral:rRNA from 1 species
GGAAUUUUGGACAAUGGGCGCAAGCCUGAUCCAGCCAUGCCGCGUGAGUGAAGAAGGCCUUCGGGUUGUAAAGCUCUUUCGGCGGGGACGAAACGGUCCGUGCCAACACCACGGCCUAAUGACGGUCCCUGCAGAAGAAGCACCGGCUAACUCCCUUCCAGCAGCCGGGGUAAUACGUAGGGUGCAGGCGUUAAUCGGAAUUACUGGGCGUAAAGCGUGCGCAGGCGGUUUGUUAAGACAGGUGUGAAAUCCCCGGGCUUAACCUGGGAAUUGCGCUUGUAACUGGCAGACUGGAGUGUGGCAGAGGGGGGUGGAAUUCCAAGUGUAGCAGUGAAAUGCGUAGAUAUUUGGAGGAACACCGAUGGCGAAGGCAGCCCCCUGGGUUAACACUGACGCUCAUGCACGAAAGCGUGGGGAGCA